AACGGAUCUAAAAACAUCGCAGGCUCUAAUAGAUGUAUGUUUCUGUGGUUUGGUUGUGUGAUUCACCGGAAAUGCUAUCUGUGGUAUUCUGAGAAGCAGUUCGGCAAAAUGAUACGUGAGUACAUCAAAGUUCACUUAGACAAGCAUCUUCUUUGGAGUCGGUCUUAUAGGAUUGUUCUUCAUCAUGGCUGGACGCCUGCUGUUUGUCACCCUCAUGUAUUCCUGUGCCAAUACUAAAACACAAGCUCGUCCUCAACUCAUAAUGAAUUCAGCGGUGAUCUCAGAGACGGAAACAGUCACAUUGGACUGUCGAGCUCCAUCAUAUCCUACUGUCCACCAGUGUUAUUUCACCAUUAUCGGAGCAAAACAUGCCAAAGGCUUCACUUGUGUGCAGACACUGACAGGAACUGAACUGUUGAGGAUGUCAGACCAGAGAGCACCUGCUGAGGUUAAAGUGGAUUGUUAUUACACUGUAAUGGUUGGAGACGUGAAUCAUCCAUCUGCACACAGUGUCACAUCAUCCAUCACAAUCCAAAAUGUUGUCAAGUCGAGCACGACGCAGACUAAGACGGCAUCUGCUGUGACCACAGCAGGUCUUUGUGCUUCCAGGCCUGUAACUACUGUAAAGCAAACAUCAGCAGGUCUCAGUGCUUCCAGGCCUGUAACUCGUAUAAAGCAAACACCAGCAGAUCAAACCUUUGGACCAAGAAACUCUGGUAGUUUUAGUUCUCCUCCCCUCACAACAGACAAACCAACAUCAGAUGUUGUCGAGUCGAGCACGACGCAGACUAAGCCGGCAUCUACUGUGACCACAGCAGGUCUCAGUGCUUCCACGCCUGUAACUCGUAUAAAGCAAACAUCAGCAGAUCAAACCUUUGGACCAAGAAACUCUGGUAGUUUUAGUUCUCCUCCCCUCACAACAGACAAACCAACAUCAGGUGACACAAAGACUCACAUUUCUUUAUUUUUUUUUACAUUUCAAUAUUUGGUGACACAAAUACAUUUCUAUAUUGUUUUUUCCAAAUAUUUAUUUAAUAUUCUUACCACUGAACUCUUUUUUAGAACCAGGAGUUGAAAUUAAAGUGGGCUGUGAUCAUGUGUUUCUGCUUGGUUUGAGUAGUACGUAAUGCUCUGAAAUUAGACAGUAAAGACCUGUUUCUGAUUAUAUAUCAGAAUUUCAUGAUGAAGCUUGCGUGCAACGUUAACAGUUAAAUUGUCAGUUGAGAAGCAACACUUUGCCUCUCCUUUUUUAGAUUGUGUUCUCUUUUUGUAGGCAUUCAGUAUUUUCACACUCCUUCUUGCUUCUGUGUUUGUUGUGAAACUGAAACUGAGAUGAUUGUGGCUUCCGAAACAGAAAUGCAGAGAUGGAUGUUCAUGGUGAUUGCGAUUUGUUUGGGAGGUUUUUUCUCUAUUUCCUUACUGGGACUGGGCCUUCUGUGUAGAAAAAGAACAUUGGGUAAGAACUUGACUUAUGUGUCAGAAAUCAUUGAGUUAUUCUUUGCUCCCUGCUGCUUGAUGAACUGACAAAGAAUUUGAGCAGAGGGUCAAAAGAGGCACUAAAGACCCUUUUGAACACAACUUGCACAUAACUCUGUUUAGAGAACAGCAUCGUUUACCACAUUUGCAUUAAUGUCAUUGGAUGUUAGUAGUUCCUCACCUGUAAGUAUUCCAGAGAGAGCUGGACUUCCAAGCAAACUGCCUUAUGUAACAAUAUGCUUUUCUCUCUGUUGUGUUUUUCAGAAAGAUGUUCUUAUAAGAGGUCACAAGCUGAUGUCACUGGUUCUGUGAAACUGGAGGAGCAAACAUUUACAAAUGAGAAUCCCAUAUACCAUCUCUACUCCACUAUCCCCGACGAGCCGCCUGCAUCAGCCCAGGAGGAAGCGAUGUACAGCUACCUGCAGCCACAGUUGAAGCACUAGCCUUUUAUACUGUAGAGAAACUGUUUGAGCGGAAAGUCUUCUUUAAUCCAUUUAUUUUACAUUUUUUAAACAUAAUAUUCUUUGCAAAAAUGCAAUGCCAAUUGUAACUAAUGAACAACAGGUCUCAGCUGGGUGGCACACUUGAUAUUUUGUUUUACAGGGAGAAAAGAUUAUUGAAUUUUUAUAUUGAAUUACAGAGAAUGGACGUUUACUUUUUGCAAUUGUUGAAUAUGUGCAAAGGUUUCAUUUUGUGAAGUUGGAGGCUGUUGAUUAGCACUACAUUGUAGACAGCUUCUUCUUUCUCUUUAAAGAUUCAAGUCAAAGAUGGGUCAGGAUUUUCUUCUGCAUGCUGUCAUAAAACAGCAUAAGCUUGCUUCUUUAGGACCUGUAACACGAUGCCUGCUCAAUAGAAUUAAACAAUUAAAAAAAUAAGAUAACCAGAGCUGCCAACUUUUCAAAAAACCUUGGAGUGAGAUUUUGUCGGGGGUGACCAAAAUUUUGCCGCGCACGCAGCCACACACGUUGGUGGCUCAAAUAUCA
ensembl:lncRNA